rnacentral:rRNA from 1 species
AUACGGAAGGUCCGGGCGUUGUCCGGAUUUAUUGGGUUUAAAGGGAGCGCAGGCGGAGAUGCAAGCGUGACGUCAAAUUUCGGGGCUCAACCCCGUCUCGCGUCGCGAACUGCGUCCCUUGGUUGCGGGAAGGGGAGGCGGAACUCGUGGUGUAGCGGUGAAACGCGUAGAUAUCACGGAGAACUCCGAUCGCGAAGGCUGACGUCCUGCCCGUCAACGAGGCUCAUUCGCGAAGGUGCGUGAAGCCAACGGGUUGAGAAACCCUUGUAGUGCGCACGUGAAAGGAUUGCCCCUCGCGGUGGGGCCUAUAUGGGUGAGCCGACUAGCGAAAGCAAUAAGUGUCCACCCUGGGGAGUGAGCGUGCAACGGGGAAACUCACAGAUGUGGACGUGG